AAAAAAGCAGGGGCCUCUUGCCUGUGUGAAUGGGCCUCUCGUUACCUUCAGGGAUAUAAUAACCUCUGUUAUUGGGUGAACCUCUGUUCCUUGUUUGUGACUGAAGGUUCAGUAAACGAUGGAACAUGU